AAAAAUAACGCAUUGGAGUACUAGUUACUGCCAAAAGUAACGGCGUUACUUUGUAACGCGUUAGUCCCAAUACUGCUUAUGACCCAGAUGGGGAGCCCCAAUUUGGUCUCAUAAAGUCCAUUUUAGUACUAGACCAAACAUCACACACACCAACAAUAAAACUUGUUGUACAGAAGUGGGAAACACAAUGGUUUGAUAGGCAUUUCUUUGUAUACAGUGUGAUUCCCACUCAAGUUUUGGCAGCUGUUGAUGUGAGAGAGCUGCUUGAUCACCAUCCCCUACUGUACAUGCAGUGAAGUCAUUCAGCGAGACUGAUGACAGUUUAUACAUUUCACUGCGCUAUAGACUUUUUUAGAAAAUCAGCUUACUGCCACCAGGUGUGUGUACAGUAGGUAUGACACUUUGUAAAUAGCAUUUUGACUGAAGUCCAUUUUUUCCUGCCAUAUUUGUUUAGUGGUUAGCUAUAAAUGCUGCUUAAAAGGUGCCUUUGGACUACAGGGAUGAUCAUGCGAUGGAGUACUGGGAUGUUUCUGUAAAUACUGGGAUGGAUGUGAUAAAUUGUACAAUUGAACCUGCUGUGCCACCUACAAGUCCUGAUGUCCAACCAACUGCCACAACUCCACCCCUCAUGGAGGAAGGACUGGCAACUGCCACACGUCCACCCUCCAUGGAGGACCAAACGGCACCUGUCGUACCACCGAUGAUACCUCAAACGCUCCAUUUUUUAAGACUUGGCUUUCACUUUUUUCUUUAAUCAACACUAAAGAGUAAUAAACUAUAUCUGUGAUGUUGUCCCUUCUUGAAUUUUCUCAGGAUAUCUGCCAGAUUCUCACAGGCUCAACUGAAGGCAAGCUGAUCCUGGGGAGCCUUGAUGAGGAUGUGAUCAUCCCUUCGCAAAGCAAGUGCCUUGUCCGUAUUUUGGUGUCUCACCUCAUGGAGAAGUUUGGAGAGUCCUACCAGUGAGACAAAAAAGGCCUUGGCUGCAGCUUUGAUUCAUGGGUUUCCCUCCUUGAAGGACGAGGAUACUGGUUCACCCCAGGACGGAACCGCCGCCCAGCCACUGGAUUCCUCGAAGAGAGGCUUCGGAACAUCAGAAAGAGGAUGAGAAAACCGGCCAGGUCACAGAGCACGCAGCAGACACCACCACAAAGUAGUGAAGCUGGCACUCGUAGGACAUUCAUACCAGAAUGUACCAUAUCGGAAGAAAGAGCCAUACAGUGUAAACAAUGGCUGAAACACAAUUCGCAGCCCCUCAACCAGGUGGAGCAAUACAUGCAGGAUACAGCAGUGUACAG